rnacentral:rRNA from 2 species
CAGCACAGAGGAGCUUGCUCCUUGGGUGGCGAGUGGCGGACGGGUGAGGAAUACAUCGGAAUCUACUUUUUCGUGGGGGAUAACGUAGGGAAACUUACGCUAAUACCGCAUACGACCUACGGGUGAAAGCAGGGGACCUUCGGGCCUUGCGCGAUUGAAUGAGCCGAUGUCGGAUUAGCUAGUUGGCGGGGUAAAGGCCCACCAAGGCGACGAUCCGUAGCUGGUCUGAGAGGAUGAUCAGCCACACUGGAACUGAGACACGGUCCAGACUCCUACGGGAGGCAGCAGUGGGGAAUAUUGGACAAUGGGCGCAAGCCUGAUCCAGCCAUACCGCGUGGGUGAAGAAGGCCUUCGGGUUGUAAAGCCCUUUUGUUGGGAAAGAAAUCCAGCCGGCUAAUACCUGGUUGGGAUGACGGUACCCAAAGAAUAAGCACCGGCUAACUUCGUGCCAGCAGCCGCGGUAAUACGAAGGGUGCAAGCGUUACUCGGAAUUACUGGGCGUAAAGCGUGCGUAGGUGGUUGUUUAAGUCUGUUGUGAAAGCCCUGGGCUCACCCUGGGAACUGCAG